rnacentral:rRNA from 1 species
CGGGGUGCAGCAGGCGCGAAACCUUUACACUGCACGCACGUGCGAUAAGGGGACUCCGAGUGCGAGGGCAUAUCGUCCUCGCUUUCGUGUACCGUAGGGUGGUACACCAACAAGGGCUGGGCAAGACCGGUGCCAGCCGCCGCGGUAAUACCGGCAGCCCGAGUGAUGGCCGAUCUUAUUGGGCCUAAAGCGUCCGUAGCUGGCUGCGCAAGUCCGUCGGGAAAUCCACUCGCCCAACGAGUGGGCGUCCGACGGAAACUGCACAGCUUGGGACCGGAAGGCUCGAAGGGUACGUUCGGGGUAGGAGUGAAAUCCCAUAAUCCCGCACGGACCACCGAUGGCGAAAGCACUUCGAGAAAACGGAUCCGACAGUGAGGGACGAAAGCCAGGGUCUCCAACCGGAUUAGAUACCCGGGUAGUCCUGGCCGUAAACAAUGUUCGCUAGGUAUGACACAGACUACGCGUCUCUGUUGUGCCGUAGGGAAGCCGAGAAGCGAACCGCCUGGGAAGUACGUCUGCAAGGAUGAAACUUAAAGGAAUU